UUCCGUAGGUGAACCUGCGGAAGGAUCAUUACCGAGUUGACUCGAGCUCCGGCUCGACUCUCCCACCCUAUGUGUACCUACCUCUGUUGCUUUGGCGGGCCGCGGUCCUCCGCACCGGCUCCCUUUGGGGGCUGGCCAGCGUCCGCCAGAGGACCACAAAACUCCAGUCAGUAAACGUUGCAGUCUGAAAAACAAGUUAAUAAACUAAAACUUUCAACAACGGAUCUCUUGGUUCUGGCAUCGAUGAAGAACGCAGCGAAAUGCGAUAAGUAAUGUGAAUUGCAGAAUUCAGUGAAUCAUCGAAUCUUUGAACGCACAUUGCGCCCCUUGGUAUUCCGAGGGGCAUGCCUGUUCGAGCGUCAUUUCAACCCUCAAGCUUUGCUUGGUAUUGGGCCCCGUCCUCUGUGGACGCGCCUCAAAGACCUCGGCGGUGGCGUCUUGCCUCAAGCGUAGUAGAAAUCACCUCGCUUUGGAGCGCAUGGCGUCGCCCGCCGGACGAACCUUUGAAUUUUUCUCAAGGUUGACCUCGGAUCAGGUAGGGAUACCCGCUGAACUUAAGCAUAUCAAUAAGCGGAGGAAGGAUCAUUACCGAGUUGACUCGAGCUCCGGCUCGACUCUCCCACCCUAUGUGUACCUACCUCUGUUGCUUUGGCGGGCCGCGGUCCUCCGCACCGGCUCCCUUUGGGGG
rnacentral:rRNA from 1 species